rnacentral:tRNA from 1 species
GGGCGAUUAGCUCAGCGGGAGAGCGCUGCCUUCACACGGCAGAUGCCGCAGGUUCAAUCCCUGCAUCGCCCACCA